rnacentral:lncRNA from 1 species
AUCCAAAAAAACCUCAGGCUUCCACUGGCUGUAAUUGCCAUCAAAAGAAAUACUAAAGAGAUUUUUACAGGAUUUCUGGCCUGAUUCAGUUAGUGCCAGGAGGUUUGACUGAGAUUUAGAUAAGCAACCUGAAAGAAAACUUAACUAUAAAUAUCUAUUGUUUACCCAUCCAUGUAACAAUAUCUGGCUUAUUAGAAAAUGACCUUGGGGCUUUUUGCAAGCCAUUGCUCUUUUCUAGUCUUACGGGCUGUAUUACCUUCACAGUGCCAGGAUUGCUGUUACUCUGAAAAUUUUCUGUUGCGAAAUUUCCUCCAAACAAUUCAGCUAUGCUGAGAAUAGAAGAACAUAUCAUGAGCAAACUCAUCUGAAAAAUGUCUGUCUCCAGCAGCUUACCAAAGAGUUACAAUAGAGGAAUGUGGAGUCUACAUGUGGAGGUGAAUGACGGUGUAAAGUACCAAAGAAAGGUUUGGAGGGAUAAUCCAGAAAAACAACCAAUUGCAAGUGAAGAAUGGGGAGUCAUGAAGGAAAAGAACACCCAUGCUCUCAACACCAAAAAAAGAAAGAGUAAUGCUCAUCCAUUUAACCUCAGAGAUGUCUGA